rnacentral:rRNA from 1 species
AUGCUCCUACGGGAGGCAGCAGUGAGGAAUAUUGGUCACUGGGCGAGAGCCUGAACCAGCCAAGUCGCGUGAGGGAUGACCGCCCUAUGGGUUGUAAACCUCUUUUGUAUGGGGGGAAUAAGCUUUACGAGUAGAGUGAUGACAGUACCAUACGAAUAAGCGUCGGCUAACUCCGUGCCAGCAGCCGCGGUAAUACGGAGGAUGCGAGCGUUAUCCGGAUUUAUUGGGUUUAAAGGGUGCGUAGGCGGCAUUAUAAGUUAGUGGUAAAAUAUUGGGGCUUCACCUCACUACGCCAUUCAUACUGU